AUACGAAGGUCCCGAGCGUUAUUCGGAAUCACUGGGCGUAAAGGGAGCGUAGGCGGCGCGGUAAGUCAGAUGUGAAAUCUCAGAGCUCAACUCUGAAACUGCAUUCGAUACUGCCGUGCUAGAGUAAUGGAGGGGUAACUGGAAUUCUCGGUGUAGCAGUGAAAUGCGUAGAUAUCGAGAGGAAGACCAACGGCGAAGGCAGGUUACUGGACAUUUACUGACGCUGAGGCUCGAAGGCUAGGGUAGCGAAAGGGAUUAGAAACCCUAGUAGUCC
rnacentral:rRNA from 1 species